CUUUUACUUUGAUUUGAGUAGCAUUUACACAAAGUAAAGAUACUUUUACUUUACAUUUUUUAGUUCUUUUACAUAUCUGAUACCAGGAUAGUAUGAAGUAUGAUAGUAUGAAGAUUGGAUUAAGAAACAAUCCCUGUCUGACUGAAGCCAUGCACAUCUCUGUACUAGACCCCGCCUCCCUCACAUGUCUGUCUUUAAAACAAACCUCUGCCAAAACCUCAGUCAGUUUGAGGACAGCAACUGCUGCGUUCUAAAACACUGGUAGAAACAUGGACAAGAAAAUUGCUGUUGCAGGCCUCUGUUUAAUGAUGGCUCACUUGGCUUCUUCCUCUGUUCUGAUGUGCUACGUCACCAGCUGGUCCCAGUACAGAAAUGGUGAAGGACAAUUUAUCAGUGACAAUCUUGAUGCAAAUCUCUGCACUCAUCUGGUCUUUGCCUUUGCCAACAUGGAGAACA